UUUUUUUUUUUUUUUAUUAUACUUUAACUUACGGGGUACAUGUGUAGAACGUGCAGUUUUGUUACAUAGGUAUAUACGCGCCAUGGUGGUUUGCUGCACCCAUCAACUCGUCACCUACAUUAGGUAUUUCUCCUAAUGCUAUCCCUCCCCUAGUCCCCCACUCCCUACAGGCCCCAGUGUGUGAUGUUCCCCUCCCUGUGUCCAUGUGUUCUCGUUGUUCAACUCUCACUUAUGAGUGAGAACAUGCAGUGUUUGGUUUUCUGUUCUUGCGUUAGUUUGCUGAGAAUAAUGGUUUCCAGCUUCAUCCAUGUCCCCGCAAAGGACAUGAACUCAUCCUUUUUUAUGGCUGCAUAGUAUUCCAUGGUGUAUAUGUGCCACAUUUUCUUUAUCCAGUCUAUCAUUGAUGGACAUUUGGGUUGGUUCAGUUUCCUCUCACAAAGGAAAUUAGGGAAGCAAUGAAGAUAAUAGGAAUUUAUAAGUUAGGAAACAAAAAUAAUAGAAUCAGUCAAUACAAGAGCUGUCGUUUGAAAGUCCUAUUAAAUUGAUAAGCCAUUGGCCAACCAAGAAAAAAAGGGGGAAGAAAAGACAUAUAUUUAAAAUUAGAAACCAGAAGGGGAAAAUAAUCACAAACAUCAGCAAAACUGAAAGGAUCUACAGGAGUACCUUGCAAAAUAGAUGUGAAUAAUUGGAUGAAAUGGUUGAUUUUCCAGAAUAAUGUAAAUCACCAAAACUGAUCCCAGAAUAGGGAAAAAUCUAAACAGGGCAAUAUAAACAUAGAAGAAAAUGAGAAUUUUAGCAAAUGAGUAUCUUUCAAAAAUGUAUCAGGCCCAGACCUUUUUACAAGUUAACUCUUUCAAGCCUUCAUGGGAUAUAAUUCUGACACUACUCUAACUUUGUCAAAGAAUAGAGAAAGAAGAAAUAACUUCUGAACUAUCUUUACACAAUCAGUAUAAUACUGAUAGGAAAACUUGACUGAGUUCAGAAAAAGAAAACGAAGUAGAGAUCUCACUUGCAUCAGAACAAAAUGUCAAUCUAUUAGCAGAUAAUAUUCAUCAGUAUUUUUUGAAAAUACAAUACCACAAGAAAGAAACAGGAUGAUUCAAUAUUAAGAUUCUAUUAAAAUAAUUCACUGUAUUAGAAGUAAAAGUGAAAAUGAGAUUAUAUCUAUCACAUUAUAAAAAAUUAGGAGAUUAUGUCACAGAACAUGUGACAAAAUUCAACAUUUGUCCCUGAUUGCCAAGAAGGGAGACCAGUAAGAUAGGAGUAUAUAAAUAUUCCAUUGACAUUGUAAAAAUAAACAUUUCAAACUAAGAGUCAGCAUAUUUAAUUAAAUAUCAGAAGUAUUAUUUAUUAAAUGAGGGGAAAAAUGAUGCCUACACCAUGAGUCAAUUUUUUCUGAAACCACUAGUCAUCAUAAUUAGGAAUGGGAAAUAAUAUUUGAAAAGAGGUGGCCAGGCGCAGUGACUCACAUCUGUAAUCCCAGCACUUUGGGAGGCCAAGGUAGGCAGAUAACCUCAGUCAGGAGUUCAAGACCAGCCUGGCCAAUAUGGUGAAACCCCGUCUCUACUAAAAAUUCAAAAAUUAGCCAGUCUUAGUGACACGCGCCUGUAGUCCCAGCUACUCGGGAGGCUGCGGCAGGAGAAUUGUUCGAACCCAGGAAGCAGAGGUUGCAGUGAGCUGAGAUCACACCACUGCACUCCAGCCUGAGCGACAGAGCAAGACUGUCUCAAAAAAAAAAAAAAA
ensembl:lncRNA novel transcript, sense intronic to CMTM1and CKLF-CMTM1